rnacentral:tRNA from 1 species
GGCUUUAUGGUUUAAUCGUAAAAUAUUAGGCUGCAAUCCUAAAGUUGCUACCGGCUAAAGCUU